UACGUAGGGUGCGAGCGUUGUCCGGAUUUAUUGGGCGUAAAGAGCUCGUAGGCGGUUUGUCGCGUCGGCCGUGAAAUCUCCACGCUUAACGUGGAGCGUGCGGUCGAUACGGGCAGACUUGAGUUCGGUAGGGGAGACUGGAAUUCCUGGUGUAGCGGUGAAAUGCGCAGAUAUCAGGAGGAACACCGGUGGCUAAGGCGGGUCUCUGGGCCGAUACUGACGCUGAGGAGCGAAAGCGUGGGGAGCGAACAGG
rnacentral:rRNA from 1 species